CACAACAUGCUAUAGGGCCUUGACUGAAUAAGAUGCUCCACUACGGAAUCGAAUUGCCUCACCGCCACAAGUUUGUUUCUGAGUCAUCUCUCUAGCGUCACUGAGCAAACUUUUAGAAAGCUGCUUUUGAACCAGAUUUAUGCUCCUGUGGAUUAAGAAUAAAUUUAAAUUUCACAUCUAAGUUAAUUAAGCAAAAUAUGAUCGCUCCAUCUCUGUUGGGCUGAGAUCACUUGGAGACAUUUCCUCAAACAUCCAAGAAACCAUUAUCAUCCGAUUUAAGCCACCAAGUUGCAGAUGCUACUAUAAUGUCAGCCUGACUUUCCUGGGCAGAGAACCUCACCAGUGUGUCCUGGAACCCACCUCUCCAGAGACCUGUCCCACUAGGAAAAGAUAGAAACAGGAAAGAUAGAUUGGAUCAACCUGCCAAUGCCCAUGUCCAGAGGAGAAGCAAUUAGAGAAGCCAGACCUACCACCUUCUGCACCCAUAAUGAUCCUGGGUCCCUGUUUCCAGAAGGAUAAAGAAUAAGAAAGCUUCCAUGGAGGGGAUGAGAUGGGAGCUCUAAUGGUGAGAACUAUGUGAAAUUGUACCCCUCUCAUCCAACGGACUUGUCGAUCAUUAUUAAAUCAAUAAAAAUAAA